rnacentral:rRNA from 1 species
UACGGAGGAUGCGAGCGUUAUCCGGAUUUAUUGGGUUUAAAGGGUGCGUAGGCGGCCUGCUAAGUCUGGAGUGAAAGGUACCGGCUCAACCGGUACAGGCUCUGGAAACUGGCGGGCUAGAGAGCAGGAGAGGGCGGUGGAACUCCAUGUGUAGCGGUAAAAUGCGUAGAUAUAUGGAAGAACCCCAGUUGCGAAGGCGGCUCUCUGGACUGUAACUGACACUGAGGCACGAAAGCGUGGGGAGCAAACAGG